CUGCUGCCUCCCGUAGGAGUCUGGGCCGUGUCUCAGUCCCAAUGUGGCCGGCCAACCUCUCAGUCCGGCUACUGAUCGUCGACUUGGUGGGCCGUUACCCCGCCAACUAUCUAAUCAGACGCGAGGCCAUCUUAGAGCGAUAAAUCUUUGGCAACCAAAGCCAUGCGACUUAGUUGCAUUAUGCGGUAUUAGCAGCUAUUUCUAAGUGUUAUCCCCCUGUAUAAGGCAGGUUACCCACGCGUUACUCACCCG
rnacentral:rRNA from 1 species